GGCUCCGCAGACCCGGGCCAGGGAAGCCCGCGCGCGUCGUCAGCAUCAGCGGGGCGGGGGACUCACUGAACCUCCCCUGUCGGGGUCUGCAGACCCCCCGGGCUGGCUAGCGGUCCCCUCCCUGGAUGCUUUAAGGGUGCUCAUCACCGUUGUCGAGCUACCCAUCUCCUGCGGGGACCCCGACGUCGCCGCCCCCUCCGACUCCCUAGCUGGUGUGCACCACUCUCAGUGCGGCCAGAGAUCUUCCUCCGAGCCCAGGCGCGGGGCAUGAGGAGCCCCCAAGUAUCGCCUGCAGACAACCCAGCCACGCGCACACCUCGCCAGCCGCUGACGGGGACAUGAGCAGUUCGAUCCAGCUCUGGUGCCUGGUGGCCAGCCUCAGCCGGCAGCGGCCAAUGGGUCCUUGCUGCCUGGGAGAAUGAGGCAGGAACCCGCGGCCACCUCUCUCUCCUCCUUCUCGCCUUCCUCUGGCUCCCGCGCCCCGGGCCCGGGCCAGGCUGUGGCUCUGCUGCGUGCCCUGCGCGCCCCCCACUUGCCUCCGGAUGCUCUUCUCGGUUAGUCUGGCGAGGAAGAUAAAGACAUUUGCAACCAAGAUGGUAAUCACGGGUGGAAAUGAUGAGGACCGGGGAGGCCAAGAGAAAGAGAGCAAAGAAGAGAGUGUUCUGGCCAUGCUGGGCAUCAUUGGAACCAUCCUGAACCUGAUCGUCAUCAUCUUUGUCUACAUUUAUACCACACUGUGAAUGGCCCCAGGCAGCCUCGGCUGCCUCAGGAUGGCCAUGAGACAAGGGUCCUGUGUGUCCACCUCUUGGUGACCAGACACUGCAGGGGGCCACACCUGCUCCAUCAAUGCACCUUCGAACUUUCUAACAGGUCACCAAAAGAACCCAUCCUGCUGUGAGGAGCAGACAACUCUGAAGCACAAUGAAUCCAACGGAACUCAUUCAGGCCACAAGGAACUUAGCGUCCCUGGCAGGGGACCUGGCGCGAUGCUGGAAAGACCAGCCUUUGGCAUGAGUGGUGAGCGAAAGGGUGAAGAAAUGCCUCACCCUGGAGUGCUGACCACCUCCCAGGACCUGCUCUUGGGGUGGUCCGUUCACAGGCAUCCCAUUCAUCAAAUGUUUCCAGCUGUUUGAUACGGAAGAUAACUUAUUUUUCAUUUUUCAUUGGCUUGAUGUGUGUAUCUGUUCAUACCAAGGUUUAUAAAUAUAUAUUUUUAAUAAAUGUGCUCUAUUUUUUAGCAUGAACCAAAUAUUUGGAGAAGCACUUCUGGAUCCAUAGCUUUUCAUGGUUUUAAUCGCUUUGCUCCAUCAAGCGCAGGAUGUCUUUUCUGUAGCCAUCCAGGUGUCUCAUCCAGUUCGUCUCUUUUGCUCUCAUGCUCUCCUCCUCCCCAUCUCUGCCUCUCCAUUCUCUCUUCUCUCGUUCCUGACUCCUGCCCACUCCCU